GACGAACGCUGGCGGCGUGCUUAACACAUGCAAGUCGAACGGAAAGGCCCUGCUUUUGUGGGGUGCUCGAGUGGCGAACGGGUGAGUAACACGUGAGUAACCUGCCCUUGACUUUGGGAUAACUUCAGGAAACUGGGGCUAAUACCGGAUAGGAGCUCCUGCUGCAUGGUGGGGGUUGGAAAGUUUCGGCGGUUGGGGAUGGACUCGCGGCUUAUCAGCUUGUUGGUGGGGUAGUGGCUUACCAGGGCUUUGACGGGUAGCCGGCCUGAGAGGGUGACCGGACACAUUGGGACUGAGAUACGGCCCAGACUCCUACGGGAGGCAGCAGUGGGGAAUAUUGCACAAUGGGCGGAAGCCUGAUGCAGCAACGCCGCGUGCGGGAUGACGGCCUUCGGGUUGUAAACCGCUUUCGCCUGUGACGAAGCGUGAGUGACGGUAAUGGGUAAAGAAGCACCGGCUAACUACGUG
rnacentral:rRNA from 1 species